rnacentral:tRNA from 1 species
AGGCUGGUAGCUCAAUUUGGUUAGAGCGCUUGUCUCAUAAACAAGGGGUUACGGGUUCAAGUCCCGUCCAGCCUACCA